rnacentral:lncRNA from 1 species
UAUGGGGACAUAGACUUUAAUAAAGCAUUGACAUGCUCCACAGGGUUCUCCUGGAGACUCUGGCUGCUCAUGGCCUGGACAGGAGGAUCCUUCGCUGGGCGGCCAGGCCCAGAGUGGUGGCAGGAGGCUCCGCAGAGGGGGUUGGGUCCAUGGGCUGUGCCGGUGGGGUGAGGUUCCACAAGGCAAAGUGCCGGGUCCUGUAUUUGGGCCACAACAACCCCCUGCAACACCCCAGGCUUGGGGCAGAGCGGCUGGAAACUGCUCCUGGGAAAGGAGCUGGAUUGACAGAGCUGAACAUGAGCAGCUUGUGCCCAGGCAGCCAAGAAGCCACCAGCAUCCCGGCCUGGCUCAGCACCAGUGUGGCAGCAGGGCCAGGGCAGUGACUGUCCCCCUGCACUGGGCACUGGUGAGGCUGCACCUCGAAUCCUGUGUCAGUUCUGGGCCCCUCACUCCAAGAGAGACAUUGAGGUGCUGGAGCGGGGCCAGAGAAGGGCCCCGGAGCUGGUGCAGGGCCUGGAGCACAAGUGUGAUGAGGAACGGCUGAGGGACCUGGGGGGUUUAGUCUGGAGAAGAGAAGGCUCAGGGGGGACCUUCUCGCUCUCUGCAACUGCCUGACAGGAGGAUGGAGCCAGGAGGGGGCUGGUCUCUGCUCCCAAGGAACAAGGGAUGGGACAAGAGGAAACGGCCUCAAGCUGCCCCAGGGGAGGUUUAGAUGGAGAUGAGGAACAAUUCCUUCCCCAGAGGGUGCUCAGGCAUUGGAACAGGCUGCCCAGGGCAGGGCUGGAGUCACCGUCCCUGCAAGUGUUCACACCCCGUGUGUCCGAGGCCUCAGUGCCAUGGGUUAGUGGUGGCCUUGGCAGUGCUGGGAACGGUUGGAGCGGAGCAGCUGAAAGCUCUUUCCCAGCCUGGCUGAUUCCAUGGCUCUAUGGGAUGCAGGGGCCGGGGACACGGGGGCCGCGGCUCCACGCACGGCAGCACCGACACGGCCGCGGGGCGCGGACACGCGUGUUCCCGCGGUGCCGGGGGCGGGGCGCGCACAGCCCCGGUCGGUGCCGGGUCCGGCGGCGGCGGCGGGUCAGAAUCGCAGUAGCUCAGCGGCCGCGGCCUCGCCUAUCUGAUCGACUCAUCCCGCCCGCGCCGCCGCCGCACAGCGCCCGGGGCUUCGCGGCGCCGCUCUUCUCAUCUCGGCCGGGGCCGAUCGAAUAAGAUCAACGUGUAGGGCCGCGGAUGGGGGGGGGGGGGCGCACGCACACACGCACACACACACCUUGCACGCCCCUUGCACGCGCCUUGCACGCCCGCACGCGCCCUGCACCCGCACCCGCGCUCACACGCACCCGCCGCUCGCCCCCCGCCGCCAUCUUGUG